rnacentral:rRNA from 1 species
GGCUGAAACCCGCCUCCAUGAAGUUGGAUUCGCUAGUAAUCGCGCAUCAGCCAUGGCGCGGUGAAUACGUUCCCGGGCCUUGUACACACCGCCCGUCAAGCCAUGGGAGCCGGGGGGUGCCUGAAGUUCGUGACCGCAAGGAGCGACCUAGGGCAAAACUGGUGACUGGGGCUAAGUCGUAACAAGGUAUC